rnacentral:lncRNA from 10 species
AGAGCCAGCCCAGCCCUGCCGACCGCAGCACUCUCGGAAGGGCUCGGCCACCCGGAGCCUCGUCACGAGUCUUACCCAGGGUUCGGAGCGGGCCUGCAAGAAGGGGCAGGCCAGGCUGGGGCUGCAAGGCAGGGUCUUCCCUUGGAGAAGGGACCUGACUCUAUUAUUAAGAGAACGAAAGAGGCACUUGCCCUACAGUGUUGUGUGCAUAGUGGAUGUGCAGCCAGCAUUGGCUCAUGUGUGAAGGAGCAUACACUCCUGGAAAGUCUGAGCAUGUCCAUACGCAUCAUCUCACUGGGCCCCUGCAGCUCACUGAAAGAAGAGGCAGACGCCUGCCCCAACUGCCCAGAGCCCUACUGGCUGAGCGGAUCCCUAAUGUCCUUAGUUAAGCUCUCACCCUGCAUGACUGUUUUCCUCAGAAGAAGGCACUAGUGGGGACACCUUUUCCUGGGGUCUCUAUGCAGGGAAUGGGCUGGAUGUGUACAGACCUGGCCACCAUGCCUUUGGGGGCUGGUGUCACGGCCAGGCCAUGACUCUAAAGAAUGAGGGGGGCUGGGUGAGGUGGCUCAGUGUGUAGAGCAUGGCCUCUCUCCUGGAAUGGCAUCUUAUACAUAUAACCCAUUGGAGCCAAGAGUUUUACCUUUACAUGCAACUACAUUUUCAGAGAUUGAUUUGACUUCCUCUUCAGAUGUUUUUUCUAUUCAAGAGGUAAAACAUAGGGAUAUUUGGACUCUCAGAACAGCGGUCUGGAUUUUCCUCUUUGACCUUUGCUUACAUGGGGUUCCUCAGAAAGCAGAGUCUCAGAUAAAAUAUAUAUGCUAUAUCUUUUGAAGAACGCAGUUCCAGGGAAGCAGGAGAAAAGAAAAGGAGAAUGAGUCAGACAAGCAAGGAAAGCGACCGGAAUUGUGCCCCAAAGAGCUGGCGGCUGCGUGGUAGGACAUGCAUACUGUGUUUAAGCUCCCAUUUCACCUUUCAUUUUCUGAAAGACCUGUGAACUGCCGCAUCUCACAGGGGAAGAACCCACAGAACAUUAACAUCUCCAUUUCCAGGCUGCAGAGGUACCAAGCCAGUGGAUCCU